AGCUCCAAUAGCGUAUAUUAAUGUUGUUGCAGUUAAAAAGCUCGUAGUUGGAUUCCUGGCACGGGGUAGCCGGUCCGCCUUGCAAAAGGUGCGCACUGAGCGGCCUCGGCCAUCCUUGGGAAGAGCGGUCCUGGCAUUCAGUUGUCGGGGCCGGGAUUCCCGACGUUUACUGUGAAAAAUCAGAGUGUUCAAAGCAGGCUUACGCCUUGAAUACAUUAGCAUGGAAUAAUGAGAUAGGACCUUGGCGGUCUAUUUUGUUGGUUUGCACGCCGAGGUAAUGAUUAAAAGGGACGGUUGGGGUUCUUCGUAUUCAAUUGUCAGAGGUGAAAUUCUUGGAUUGCGUUACGACGAACUACUGCGAAAGCAUUUGCCAAAGAUGUUUUCA
rnacentral:rRNA from 1 species